GCUCAGAUUGAACGCUGGCGGCAGGCCUAACACAUGCAAGUCGAGCGGAUGAAGGGAGCUUGCUCCUGGAUUCAGCGGCGGACGGGUGAGUAAUGCCUAGGAAUCUGCCUGGUAGUGGGGGAUAACGUCCGGAAACGGGCGCUAAUACCGCAUACGUCCUGAGGGAGAAAGUGGGGGAUCUUCGGACCUCACGCUAUCAGAUGAGCCUAGGUCGGAUUAGCUAGUUGGUGGGGUAAAGGCCUACCAAGGCGACGAUCCGUAACUGGUCUGAGAGGAUGAUCAGUCACACUGGAACUGAGACACGGUCCAGACUCCUACGGGAGGCAGCAGUGGGGAAUAUUGGACAAUGGGCGAAAGCCUGAUCCAGCCAUGCCGCGUGUGUGAAGAAGGUCUUCGGAUUGUAAAGCACUUUAAGUUGGGAGGAAGGGCAGUAAGUUAAUACCUUGCUGUUUUGACGUACCAACAGAAUAAGCACCG
rnacentral:rRNA from 1 species